CUUGACAAUCUGCACAUCUGGGAGACUAUCAAGAAAUGCUUUGAGGUCGAUGCCAUUCAGCACAAUCCGAUUGUCAUAAAUGUGCCCAUUGGACUUAAAAUCGAUGACUGCCUUCUUCUUCAGCUGCAUGCAGUGUCUCUCAGCUGCCUCAAAAUCUCCUGCCUGAUACUCUCGAUGUGCCAACUCAGCUAACCCUUGGAAGGAAAGCAUACGUUUCGUUGGUUCUGUGCUGUCGGCCACGUUGCCCACAGAAGACGCCAUCUGGAGCUUCUGGAGAGAAGCAAAAUUCACUUAAGUACUGUACUGGUGGAAAUUGGGCAGCACUAUGGAGACAAUAAAAAGGUGUUUACCAUCAAAAAACGUCAAGGUAAGAAAGAUAAUGUCUAAUUUUUAAUUAUCCUGUGGUUUAUUGAAAUCUUUUGGAAACCCAAAAUAGAGAAAACCUAGGAGGCAAUGAAGACUUAAAUCUUUAGAGAUUUAUCAACUCAUCUAUAAAAGCUUUAUUAAUCUCUUCUUUUAAUACCAUUCCUGAGAGGUAUAAAUGUGUCCAGUGAUAGGGUUGAAGAAGCCUGAGAGAAUUUCAAUUGUUUACUAUUCUUGGUCAGCUAUUAAGACCUUUCAGGAGCAUCUUGAUUUUCAUGGCAUCAUCCAACAAAAAGCAGGAUAUUUUACAGAAAGUCCUGGUCCACUUUUUGGCUUGCUUUUGUGUUUAUGUUUUUGGUUUUCUCACACUGGGCGGUACAUUAGGCUACCUAUUGCACACUCCCUCAUUCAUGCAUGCAUUCAUUCAAACAAUAUUUACUGAGUUGAGAUAUUUAAUUAACACCCAAUAAAUGAUGUUUAGAUGAAUGAAUGCGCUUUUUAUCAAAGUAAGUGUAAGUACUGAGAAAAAUUACAGAAUGUAUGAUCCCAGCCCCACAAAAGCGUAUAAUUGUGUUGAGGAUAUAACAUAUGCUGGUGAAAUAACUAAUAUAUCAUAUUGGACAGUUUCUAAGUUCAAAAAUGAGUUUUUGUAAAUAAUCAGAGCCUAAGGAGGACAAAGAAGGGACAGUUCAUUAUGGGUUGAAUCUAUCAAUAAAUGUACAUUUCAGAUGAGAUUUGAGAUUGACCUUAAAGAAAGAAGAGGACUUAGAUAUAUGAACAGAGAACAAAAAAGGCAUGGUGAUAGCAUGUGCAUAGAUAGUGUGGCCAAUAUUUAUGUUCUUCAUUAAAGACAGUCAGAGAUAACCCAAAUGUAACUGUUUCCAUGGGUCCAUUCUCAGUACCCAAACAAAACGGCAAAUCCUAUCUUAGUAAAACUAAUGAAAAACACAGUCUUUAACGAAGACAUUGUGAAGGAAAGGGGGAGAGAAAGGCUUGCGUCCCACACCACACAACAAAACUUAUUUAAUUAUUUGUUUCAUUUUCUCCCUCUGAAAAUUUCCUCUCCCCCUCUCUGUACAUCUCUCUUCUCCCACAUCUGGCCACACUCUACCAGCCACCUUUCCAGAUCUUUCCAGAACUCUCCAUCCUAGUUUCAUUAUGCCACAAGUUGAACAUCUCACAGGUCUCCAGGAUGCAUCCUCAUCACUUAUUCCACAAAGACAAACAAAGGACACUUCUCAGGAUCAAGUUUCUUGGAAGGAAGAGGUCAUGAGGAGUGAUUAUAAAUAACAUACUGGCACCAAACUUUCAAACAAUAAGAACCUUCCCAUAAGUCCCUUGCCAGGCAAGAUUAAGGUAUAACAAUCCAAACAGAUUUUUGAAGAAGAUAACUGGUUGAAAGCACAGGAAAAGAGCUGGGUUGCUCUUUUUCAACGGUCACAUGAUGAGUAAUGUGGGAAUUGGUUUACAAAGUCUCUCUCCAUGAGGGGCUAAGGUUAAGAUUAGAACUUCUGAGGCCAGAAGAGCAAAAUAACUACAACAACACACAUAUUUUCAAGAGCCGCCCUUUGGAUGUGAGGGAUUGAUUUUUCCCACGCUUUUUUCAGCAACCCCACUGGUGUCUUUAUUAAAUGACAUAAGGGAAUACAGUGUGGCCAAGAAGGCUUAGAUUUCCUUAGCCGCAAGUCAGAUAUUCUCAAGUGACUGUCCACUCAAAUUAAAAAGAGAGAUUUACAAGAGGAAACUGGAUACAACUGAGUGUACUUUUAUUUCAACCCUUUAUCUGAAUGCUUUGUUUUGAUUUCAGUUCUCCACUGAAGUUGCCUACAUUAAUAUAUUUUUAAGAACAUUUCCUUAAGUUGAAGUAUUCAUUCAGUAUAUUCAUUUACUAUAAUUGAGAAAAGCCAAAUGACUUAGGCAAAUUCAUUUCUAUAUUGCCACAGCAGUGUAUUGUGAACUAAAUGACACCUGGCAGUUCUUUACUCAGAUACUAACUCAAUUAGAAGGCAGAACAAGGAUACCUACCCAUUGAGGGAAGGAAAGGUCACUUAGCCUCUGUAGCUGUCUUAGGUCUCUUAUCAUCACAGUAACAAACUGAAGACUAAAAACCAUACGAUCAUCUCAAUAGAUGCAGAAAAAGCUUUUGAAAAAAUUCAAUAUCCAUUCAUGGUAAAAACUCUCCAGAAAGUGGGCAUACAGGGAACAUACCUCAACAUAAUAAAGGCCAUAUAUGACAAGCCCAUAGCUAUCAUACUCAAUGGUGAAAAGCUGAAAGCAUUUCCCCUAAGAUCAGGAAUAAGACAAGGAUGCCCACUCUCACCACUUUUAUUGAACAGAGUUUUGGAAGUCCUAGCCACAGCAAUCAGACAAGAAAAAAUAAAUAAAUAAAAGGACUCCAAAAUGGAAAGGCAAAAGUAAAACUGUCACUGUUUGCAGAUGGCAUGAUACAUAGAAAAUCUGAAAGACACCAUCAAAAAACUAUUCGAGCUCAAACAUGAACUUGGUAAAUUUGAAGGAUACAAUAGAUUUCUAUAUAUAAAUUUUGUAUUUCUAUACACUCACAGUGAACUAUCAGAAAGAGAAAUUAAGGAAACAAUCCCAUUUACAAUCGCAUAAAAAAGAAUAAAAUACAUAAGAAUAAACCUGCCUAAGGAGGUAAAAGACCUGUACCCAGGAAACUAUAUGACACUCAUAAAAGAAAGGAAAGAUGACACAAACAGCUGGAAAGAUAUACCAUGGUCACGGAGUGGAAGAAUUAAUAUUGUUAAAAUGACCAUCAUACCCAAGGACAUCUACGCAUUCAAUGCAGUCUGUAUCAACAUAUCAAGGGCAUUUUCCACAGACCUAGAACAAAUAAUUUUAAAGUUUGUAUGGAAACACAAAAGAUCCUGAAUAGCUAAAACAGUCUUGAGAAAGAAGAACACAACUGGAGGAAUCAUGCUCCCUGGCUUCAGACUGUGCUACAAACCUACAGUAAUCAAAACAGUAUGGUACCGGCACAAAAACAUCCAUCACUGGAACAGAAUAGAGAGCCCAGAAAGAAACCCAUGCACUUAUGGUCAAUGAAUCUAUGACAAAGGAGGCAAGAAUAUGCAAUGGAGAAAAGUCUGGGCUUCCUUAGGGAUGGUUUCAUCAAUUAAUUUGUUUUCUUAAAUGGACCAUACUUUUCCAUGUCUUUGUAUACCUUGUGAGUUUUUUGGUUGAACAUUUGGCUUUCAAAUAUUAUAAUGUGGUGUCUAUGGAAAUCAGAUUCUCCCACUUUCCCAGGGUUUUCUGGGCUUUGGAUUGUUGAAGGCUGUAGUAGUCUGUUUGUUUAGGGGCCUUUCCAAACUAGUUUUGCAAUGAGUGUACUCCUUAUCGUAUGUAGGCACUGAAGUCUCUGUUCCUUUAGUUCAUGUUUAGCUAAUGUUUUGACAGAGAUGUCCUUGAAUUCCCACACCUAAGACAAACAAAAACAAAUAUACACAAGCACAUCCACAUGCACACUCAAAACCACACACCUCUCCCCAUUGUGCAGAUUGCUGGAUCACUCCUUCAACAUUUAGCUGACCUGCACUGAGGUCAGGGCUCAGCCCAUGGUAAAAGCUUAGAGACUCCUCUGGUGUUUUCAGAACAUGCAUCUUAUCUUGAGUAUGCAUGUGGCUUUCUUAAUUUCUCUGGACACAUACUUUUUGUAUGUUCUAAGUUCCCAAAGAAUCUCCCCCAACUUUUGCUCCUGCAUCUUAUGUGGUCUAUUGUAUUUCAAUGCACAGUCUUCUGCCCCAGCCAUCUCUGCUUUGUUAGUUCACCUUGCACUUUUUUUGAGCAAUGACCGCUGCUUUUCCAGACUGUGUUCCAGGUUAGCUAAGACAGAGAUAAGCAUCUUGUGUCAGUCCUUCAGGUAGCUCCCAGACAGGUUAGAACAGAUACACAUAAUAAUCCGAGAGUAUGGUCUCUUCUGCUCUCUCCUGAAGCAGGAUUGAGGGCCCCAUACUAGGAAUGGUCUGCUGCUACUUUAAGACUAUCACUGCAUUAAGACCCUACCACUUUAAGACCAUCACUACACUAAGAGUAGAUGGGGCAAGGGCAAGUAAAAAUGCCACAAAGCUUUCCUGCCAUUUUCAAAUUGCCUCUUCCCUGGUUCAGUAUGUGUUUGCUUGCUGUAAAUCUUUGCCUGAUUUCAGGACUAAGAGAAACUCAAGGAACGCCACAACAAGAAACAGUAUAAUCAAACUCUCAGAUGCCAAAAGACAGAGAAAGAAUCUUUACUCCCAAAGGAGAAAGAAAAAACAAAUUUGUUACAAAGCAGGGAUCCUCAAAAAGGUUCAUAGCUAAUUUCCUAUCUGAAACCACGGAAGCAAGAGGCCAGACAUAUUUAAAGUGCUGAGAGAAAAAAACUGUCCACCAAGAAUUCUAUAUUUGGCCAAACUGGUUUCAAAACUUAGGGAGAAAUUAACACAUUCCCAGAUGAACAAAGGCUGAGGGCGUUUGUUUUACAACUUCCUAACACUGCCCUAGGACAAAUGCUAAAUUGAACCUUCAGGUUGAAAUGAAAGGACACUAGACAGCAACUCGAAGCUGUAUAAAGAAAUAGAAAUCUCCAGUAAAGAUAAAUACAUGGGCAGAUACUAAAGCCAGUAUUGUGCUACUGGCUUGUAACUCUACUUUUUAUUUCUUACAUGAUUGAAAAAACAAAUGCAUAAAAUAAUCAUAAAUCCAUGUUAUUGGGCUCACGAAGUAUAAAGGUGUAAUUUGUGACAACAAUAAUGUAAGGAGGAGGAAUGGAACUGUAGAGGAACAGAGUUUCUGUGUGCUAUUGAAGUUGGUUUCAAUUCAAAUGAUAUUGGUUGAACUUUAGAAGGGUAAAUUAUAUGCUGUCCGCAAAAAACUCACUUGAUUUCAAGAGACACAAGUUGGUUGAAAGUUAAAGCACAGAAUAAAAUAUCCCAUGCAAAUAGUAACAAAAAGAAAGAAAGAGAGAGAGAGAAAAAGGAAGGAAGGAAGGAAGGAAGGAAGGAAGGAAGAUAGAUCUGGGAUGGCUACGUUAAUAUCACACAAAAUAAACUUUAAAUCAAAAACUAUCACAAGAGGAAAAGGAGGCCACUAUAUGUUGAUAACAAGUUCAAUCUAUCAAGGAGAUAUAACAACUAUAAACAUAUAUGUACCAAACAUCCCCCAAAUAUGUGAAGCAGACAUUGACAGAAUUGAAGGAAGAAAUAGAUAGUUCUAAAAUAAUAGUUGGAGAUCAAUACCUUGCUUUCAAUAAUGGAUAACACAUCUAGACAGAUCAGUAGAGAGGUAGGGGGACUGAAUAACACAUUUAACCAACUAAACCUAACAGCCAUAUAUAGAUCACUCCACUCAACAACAGCAGAAUACACAUUUUUCUCAAGUACACAUGGAACAUUCUCCAGGAAAGACCAUAUGUUACGCCACAAUACAAGUACCAAUACAUUUUUAAGAAACUGAAAUCAUACAAAGUAUCUUCUUUAGCCACAGUGAAAGGAAGGUAGAAAUCAAUAACAGAACCAUUGGUAGCCAUUUCCCAUCAUGCCUGCCACACAUGAUAUAAAGCAAUGAAGGGGAAAACAUAAUUGACCAUUUAGAAAAGUGGGAAAGAGGACAUACCAUUGACACAGAGUGUGUGCUGUUUCCCGUUCUCAGGGAUAGAAAUAAAUUAGCAUCAUUUAUUCAUUAGUGUGUUAAUUUCUUGGUCAAUCAUUGCACAGCCAGUGUUUCUGCCUGAUGGGAAGAUUUCCUAUACUCAGUGUUGAGUGGAGACAACCUUGAAAGGGACAUUUAAAAGGAUUAUACUGUGAUGGGCUUAGCAGUACCCUUCCUCCUAUGCCAGUAUUUAGGCUGGGGUAUUUCCAUGCAGUGUGUACAAUCGUAGGCCCCAGGUCACCAGAAUUUAGUUGGAUUCGUUUUGUUAAUACAUUCCCUCAGUACUUUGUCUUUUAUUUCACUGUUGCAUUUACUUCAUUCUUUAUUAUCACUGCGAAACAACUUUGUUUCCUGUUCAGAUGCCAAAAAGUGGAUAUCAAUACCUCCUGAGUUUUACACAUCACAGAUCUGUUUUACAUAUCAGAGGCAGAGACAGCAACUAUUUCCAAUGACUUUGAGACAUGCUUUGAACAUGUGAUUAACAUGUGGAGUGUUGAAAUGUGUGUCGAGCUCAUUACACUUGCUCUAAAAGGUUUCAAACUGCAAAGAUUUAAAAAUCUUUAUCUUUGAAUAGUUUUCCUGUGCUGUCCCUUUGUGUCAGACUGUUAAUGUGCAGUCUGGCACCUUUAAAUAAUGUGGCUUUGUAACCAAUUAUUUACAUGUUGUUUUAUCCACAGAGAAUCUUUUUUUUAAAAAAAUAAAUUUAUUUAUUUUUGGC